rnacentral:rRNA from 1 species
AAUGGGCGCAAGCCUGAUGCAGGGACCCCGCUUGAGGGAUGACGGCCUUCGGGUUGUAAACCUCUUUCAGUAGGGAAGAAGCGAAAGUGACGGUACCUGCAGAAGAAGCACCGGCUAACUACGUGCCAGCAGCCGCGGUAAUACGUAGGGUGCGAGCGUUAUCCGGAAUUAUUGGGCGUAAAGAGCUCGUAGGCGGUUUGCCGCGUCUGUCGUGAAAGUCCGGGGCUUAACCCCGGAUCUGCGGUGGGUACGGGCAGACUAGAGUGCAGUAGGGGAGACUGGAAUUCCUGGUGUAGCGGUGGAAUGCGCAGAUAUCAGGAGGAACACCGAUGGCGAAGGCAGGUCUCUGGGCUGUAACUGACGCUGAGGAGCGAAAGCAUGGGGAGCGAACAGGAUUAGAUACCCUGGUAGUCCAUGCCGUAAACGUUGGGCACUAGGUGUGGGGACCAUUCCACGGUUUCCGCGCCGCAGCUAACGCAUUAAGUGCCCCGCCUGGGGAGUACGGCCGCAAGGCUAAAACUCAAAGGAAUUGACGGGGGCCCGCACAAGCGGCGGAGCAUGCGGAUUAAUUCGAUGCAACGCGAAGAACCUUACCAAGGCUUGACAUGUUCUCGAUCGCCGUAGAGAUACGGUUUCCCCUUUGGGGAGGGUUCACAGGUGGUGCAUGGUUGUCGUCAGCUCGUGUCGUGAGAUGUUGGGUUAAGUCCCGCAACGAGCGCAACCCUCGUUCCAUGUUGCCAGCACGCCGUGGUGGGGACUCAUGGGAGACUGCCGGGGUCAACUCGGAGGAAGGUGAGGACGACGUCAAAUCAUCAUGCCCCUUAUGUCUUGGGCUUCACGCAUGCUACAAUGGCCGGUACAAUGGGUUGCGAUACUGUGAGGUGGAGCUAAUCCCAAAAAGCCGGUCUCAGUUCGGAUUGGGGUCUGCAACUCGACCCCAUGAAGUCGGAGUCGCUAGUAAUCGCAGAUCAGCAACGCUGCGGUGAAUACGUUCCCGGGCCUUGUACACACCGCC